rnacentral:rRNA from 1 species
GACAGAGGCCUCAAGCGUUAGGCGGAAUCACUGGGCUUAAAGCGUGUGUAGACGGAUCGUUAAGUGUCUUGUGAAAUCCCACGGCUCACCCGUGGAACUGCUGGGCAUACUGGCGAUCUUGGGCCAACUAGGGGCAGCCGGAACAAGCGGUGGAGCGGUGAAAUGCGUAGAUAUCGCUUGGAACGCCGAAGGUGAAAACAGGCUGCUGGGGUUGCGCAGACGCUGAGACACGAAAGCCAGGGGAGCGAACGGG